UACGGAGGGGGCUAGCGUUGUUCGGAAUUACUGGGCGUAAAGCGCGCGUAGGCGGACCUGCAAGUCGGGGGUGAAAGCCCGAGGCUCAACCUCGGAACUGCCUUCGAUACUGCGGGUCUCGAGUCCGGGAGAGGUGAGUGGAAUUCCGAGUGUAGAGGUGAAAUUCGUAGAUAUUCGGAGGAACACCAGUGGCGAAGGCGGCUCACUGGUCCGGAACUGACGCUGAGGAGCGAAAGCGUGGGUAGCAAACAGG
rnacentral:rRNA from 1 species